UACCAGGCUAUGUCCAGGCUCAGCAAGAAAGAAUGCCAUGAUGAAUUUAAUGAUGUCUGCUAUGGAUAGAUGAUAAAGGAAUCAAGCCAUGAAUAACGUAUUUGCUGAUGUAAUCUUUUUCCUCAAAUCCAUCAAUAUAAAUUAAUCUGCCCUCUUUAUUUGUAUCUACUGAAAUCCUACUCAUCAUCCAAGACUAGAUCAUAGAGCUCAUCCUGCUCUGAUUUAACCCUAUUUAUUAUUUGGCUAUUUAAUAUUGGUAUUAGUUUAUAAAUGUUAAUAGUAAAUGGAACUUAUUUUUGAUACUUGAAGUGGCUUGAAGAAUGGUGGUAUCAUUAACACAUAGUAUGACUCAUUUUAAGGAACACAUGAAUGGCUAAUUAUAGAAGGUAUCUGGUCCUCUGGCUAUCAGAAAAGAGAUCUAAGAGUUCUCUAAAUGUAGUAUUAAUGAACUCUUUCGGCAAAAAAAAAAAAAAAAAAAAACCAAUUUGCUUAAACCAAAGAAAAGAGCAUUAAGGCUGGUCAUUACACCUCAACAGUAACAGGAACAUGAGAUCAUUUGAUAUGAUUCUGCAUGCAGUACUGCUCUAUCACAUGACACAUUGUAUUAUAGUUGGCCGUAUGCAGCCCCAGAUUCCCUUUUCUCUGCAGAUCAGUGACUCUUUUUGGAAAGAGGUUCAUGCUCUAUCAUACAAUAAUAUUAAGAAGAUUACCAACAAUCUAAAAUGCUUCCUUCAACUGAGGUUUUGAGAAAUCACAGAGAGGCAACAACAUUUUUCUUGACUUUACUGUAUAUACAAUGGAGGCUCAUUAUAAUAAAAACACAAUUUCACCCACUCAAAUAUAAACUCCAAGGGAGCAAGGACAUUGUCUAGUGUUUUCAUUACUGUAUCUCCAGUGCCUGACUCAGAGUAGGUAAUCUAUAUAUAUUUUACUACUGAACAGUUACUACUUAAUCAAUAUUAGAUGAAGAUAAUAUAAUACACAGAACAAAAGUUUAAUAUUUCUAUUCUACAACCUGUCUUUUGAAAGAGGCAGUCAUCUUUAUUCCAGAUUCUUCCUUUCCUACUGUGUCUUUUGUGCAGUGAGAACAAAAUUAAGCAUGCGAUCAAAAUGGAUCAUAGACAUAAAAGACCUAAAUGUAAAAGCUGAAAUCAUAAAACUUUUAGAUAUAGGAGAAAAUGUAGGAAAAAAAUCUUUGUGACCUGGUGUAAGGGAAGAUUUCUUAUGCAGGAUACAAAAAACACUAGCCAUACAAGAAAAAAGCAAAACAUUAGACUUCACCAAAAUUUAAAACUUCUGCUCCUCAAAAGACACUAUAAAGAAAAUAAAAAGGCAAGCCACCAAUUAGGGGAAAAUAUUUUUAAUUCAUAUACUCACAAAGGACUUGUAUCCAGAAUAUAUAAAGAACUCUUAAAACUCAGUAACAAGAAGCCAAACAUUCCAGUUUUUUAAAUGGGCAAAUACUUUGAAUAGAUUUCACCAAAUAUGAGAUACUGGUGACAAGAAAGCACAUAAAAAGAUGCUCAAUGUCAUUAAACAUUAGGAAAAUGCAAAUUAAAACCACAAUGAGGCAGCACUACACACCUACUAGAUUUUUUUUUUUUUUUUUUUUUUUUAAGAAACUGACAAUACUAAGUGCUGACAAGGAUGCAAAGCAACUGGAACUCUCAUAUAAUGCUGGUAAGUGGAAAAUGGUACAGACUCUUUGGAAAACAGUAUGGCACUUCUCUUUUUUAAAAAUUUAUCUUAUUUUAUGAAUAAAUCAGUAACUUUUUUUUUUUUUUUUGAGACAGGGUCAUGCUUUGUUACCCAGGCUGGAGUGCAGAAGCAAGAUCAUGGCUCACUGCAACCUCCGCCUCCUACACUCAGAUGAUCCUACCACCUCAGCUUCCCGAGUAGCUGGGACUA
rnacentral:lncRNA from 1 species